ACAAGCCGUGCUCUUUUGUGCCCAAGUAUCUUAGAGCUUUUUGUGUCUGCCACCUGCACCCCUCAUCUGGGCUCCCACUCUCACUGCUCGACCAUUUUCUUGGAAACCCUCUCCCUUUUUAAAAAGAAUCAUCUCCAACAUGACCAGGUCUCUUCUGGAAAUCCCUCCCAAAUUUGGACACUCUUUCUUUUAUGGUCCUCUUGCACUUUGCAUGAACUUCUACUGACUAAGGAACAUUUUAAAAGCCUUUCUCUGUGUUAAUUUUCUCAUCUGAUAAAAGGAAUGAUAAACGGCUUGUCUGUGGUUUUGUGGAGCAAAUGGGUGAGUGUAUCCUAACGCUUAGAAGAACACAACACAAAAUUACGCGUUCGACGCUUAUUGUCAGUGGUGCUUGUUGCGGCAUUGCAUCCCUCUGUAUUGUGUAUAUCUGGUUACUGUUCUUCCCACCCAACACACUAUGAGAAUCCUGCAAACAGAGACCAUACCUUGUGCAUCUCUGACUCCCCAGAUCCCAGUAAGAUGGGGGCACAAACCUGAUGCUCAGACAGCUUGCCGGACAUUGAGUGAGCGAAUAUGAAGGAUUUCCUCUUGCAGGAAGGCACUAGCCGCUCUCCAUCCUUCUGGAAAAAGCCGCUGGGAGGAGGAGACAGGACUGCAAUGGAAGGCAUGCAAACUGGACAGGAGGAAGUGAUUCAACACCCUCCAGUCCUUGCCCACCAAACCACAAAAACCAACACAAACAAGCAGACCAAUAAAAGCCAAACCCAAAGCUAUGGAAACUUGGGAGGUCAUCCUCACCAAGGCAGGAGUCUCCAGGGGAAGAUCAAGUGAUGAUGCCAACUCUUCUCAAAGGACAGAGUUUUGGCUGAGGUCUGUAUGGAUUCCAGCAGUCCCUUCUCUUCAAUGCACAGCACUGCUUUGCAGGUGAGGAUGUUAAUAUUUUCCAGCUUGAAUAUCUGUGGCAAAAGUUCUCUUGGAAUCACUUCCAACUUUCUGGAGCUAAUUCCUGUGUCGUGUUUAUGAAGAUCCUGACAAGGCUGAACUUUACCUGAGCCUGUACACCUCAGAGAACAGCGAUGCUUAAGAAAUACCCUCAUUCUUUCAUUAUCUAGAGAAAUGGCUAACCACAAAGGACCACCUUACUCUCACAUAUUGCAAGAUAAGACACACCUCCACUUUCCUCAGUGACCCAGAUACAAUUGGUGUUCAUCCUUUUCAUGGUUGCCGUAAGACUUGCAAACGACUUCCUUGCCUAGCUGACUCUACGAAAUCCCAGAGCCCUUUCCUUUCCAUUGAGACAUUCUCAUUAGUGUGUGUUCUCCCUCUUGCUAUAGCCUAAGUAAAAUCACCUCUCUAAUUGUCUGGUGCAUUUUGUCUUUGACAAUCCCAAGUCCAAUAAUUUUUCCAGACCAGAGGGAAAUUCAGGUCCCCAUCAAGGCUGUAAACAACUAGAAGCAAGAAGGUUAUGGGGAAUCAGCAGGAAAGUCCUUAAAAAAAUGAGGCAGAGCUAGGCUGAGGAAGGAACAAAAAGAAAAUUUGUAUGCAAAUGGAUGGAUAUUCAAACCUUUCUGCUUUAAGGCGAGCAUCACACUCUUGGCCAAGGGAAUAGAAAGGAUGCGGAGUAAAAUAAAAGACGCCCUUGUUGGCCCA
rnacentral:lncRNA from 1 species